rnacentral:rRNA from 1 species
AGAGUUUGAUCCUGGCUCAGGACGAACGCUGGCGGCGUGCUUAACACAUGCAAGUCGAACGAUGAAGCCUUUCGGGGUGGAUUAGUGGCGAACGGGUGAGAAACACGUGGGUAACCUGCCCUUGGCUUUGGGAUAAGCCCUGGAAACGGGGUCUAAUACCGGAUAUGACUGAUUCUCGCAUGGGGAUUGGUGGAAAGUUCCGGCGGCCAAGGAUGGACCCGCGGCCUAUCAGCUUGUUGGUGGGGUAACUGCCUACCAAGGCGACGACGGGUAGCCGGCCUGAGAGGGCGACCGGCCACACUGGGACUGAGACACGGCCCAGACUCCUACGGGAGGCAGCAGUGGUGAAUAUUGCACAAUGGGCGAAAGCCUGAUGCAGCGACGCCGCGUGAGGGAUGACGGCCUUCGGGUUGUAAACCUCUUUCGCCCGGGACGAAGCGAAAGUGACGGUACCGGGAGAAGAAGCACCGGCUAACUACGUGCCAGCAGCCGCGGUAAUACGUAGGGUGCGAGCGUUGUCCGGAAUUAUUGGGCGUAAUAGCUCGUAGGCGGUUUGUCGCGUCGACUGUGAAAACUGGGGGCUUAACUCUCAGCUUGCAGUCGAUACGGGCAGACUUGAGUUCGGUAGGGGAGACUGGAAUUCCUGGUGUAGCGGUGAAAUGCGCAGAUAUCAGGAGGAACACCGGUGGCGAAGGCGGGUCUCUGGGCCGAUACUGACGCUGAGGAGCGAAAGCGUGGGGAGCGAACAGGAUUAGAUACCCUGGUAGUCCACGCUGUAAACGUUGGGCGCUAGGUGUGGGGGACAUUCACGUCUUCCGUGCCGUAGCUAACGCAUUAAGCGCCCCGCCUGGGGAGUACGGCCGCAAGGCUAAAACUCAAAGGAAUUGACGGGGGCCUGCACAAGCGGUGGAGCAUGUGGAUUAAUUCGAUGCAACGCGAAGAACCUUACCUGGGUUUGACAUGCACAGGACGCAUCCAGAGAUGGGUGUUCCCUUGUGGCCUGUGUGCAGGUGGUGCAUGGCUGUCGUCAGCUCGUGUCGUGAGAUGUUGGGUUAAGUCCCGCAACGAGCGCAACCCUCGUUCCAUGUUGCCAGCGCGUAAUGGCGGGGACUCAUGGGAGACUGCCGGGGUCAACUCGGAGGAAGGUGGGGAUGACGUCAAGUCAUCAUGCCCCUUAUGUCCAGGGCUUCACACAUGCUACAAUGGCCGGUACAGAGGGUUGCGAGACCGUGAGGUGGAGCGAAUCCCUUAAAGCCGGUCUCAGUUCGGAUCGGGGUCUGCAACUCGACCCCGUGAAGUCGGAGUCGCUAGUAAUCGCAGAUCAGCAACGCUGCGGUGAAUACGUUCCCGGGCCUUGUACACACCGCCCGUCACGUCACGAAAGUCGGUAACACCCGAAGCCCAUGGCCCAACCCGUAA